GACAUCUCAUCAUUGCAGGAUAGACAGAACUGUGAAGGACCUGGAGAUUAGGAGGUGAUCUCAGGAUAAUGAACAAUGAAUGCAUGUGCAUGCUGGCUAGAUGGACUUGAUCAAGAUGUUAUAAACAUCAUUGUCAAGGAGGGGUAAAAGUGAUGGAAACACACUUCUGAAGAUGGCUCAUCAGGAUUUCAGCAUUUGUUGGGACAAAAUCCUGCAGAUUCAUGUGCAGGGAUCCUACAGAUCUCACCGAAAAGAGUGAAAUCUCCAAGCAUAUUUUGUCAUAUUUAAAGAAGAACUCUUCAGUCCUUGAGUGCAGCUGUCCCAGGUUUUAAGCUGAUGUAAAGGAAGCAUCCCAGUACGUCUGCACGAGUUACACUCCUGUGACAAACUUGUGGCAGAAGAAAAGGUGUCAACAUGUGCAUUUCUCCAAAGAUUAGUAAACAUCUCUCUGCAUGGAACAUCACACAGGAAUGGCAAAGCUAUGAACUUAAACUACUUGUGACCAAGGAAUAUUAAGAAUUGUACUUCUCUCAGCACAAAAACGAGUGCACGCCAAGUGCUCUUGCCAGCAAAUGAUCAAUUUUGACUUCAAAACAGGAGCUCCAGGAGAACCUUGGGCCUGACUUUUGGCAUUUCUGCCAUUUGGAUCUCAUGGUGCUGCAUCUGUGUCUUCAGCAAGGUUUCUGAGGGAGAGACAG